AAGGUCACGGCGGGAGGAGGCGCGCGCCUGCGACCCACGUCCAUCCAGCGGCCCGCGCCCCGGGCCCAGCUGCAGCCCGCAGUCCUUCCGCGCGGGAAACCAUGGAGGGAGUGAGCGCACUGCUGGCCCGCUGUCCGUCGGCUGGCCUGGCUGGCGGCCUGGGAGUCACGGCAUGCGCCGCGGCCGGCGUGCUGCUCUACCGGAUCGCACGGAGGAUGAAGCCAACGCACACGAUGGUUAACUGCUGGUUCUGCAACCAAGACACACUCGUGCCCUAUGGGAACCGUAACUGCUGGGACUGCCCUCACUGUGAGCAGUACAACGGCUUCCAGGAGAAUGGCGACUACAAUAAGCCAAUCCCUGCCCAGUACAUGGAGCACCUGAACCACGUGGUGAGCAGCACGCCCAGCCUCCGCGACCCCGCACAGCCACAGCAGUGGGUGAGCAGCCAAGUUCUGCUGUGUAAGAGGUGCAGCCACCACCAGACCACCAAGAUCAAGCAGUUGGCUGCCUUCUCUCCACGUGAAGAGGGCAGGUACGACGAGGAGGUGGAGGUGUACCGGCACCACCUGGAGCAGAUGUAUAAGCUGUGCCGGCCGUGCCAGGCGGCUGUUGAGUACUACAUCAAGCACCAGAACCGUCAGCUGCGCGCCCUGUUGCUCAGCCACCAGUUCAAGCGCCGGGAGGCCGACCAGACCCACAUGCAGAGCUUCUGCUCCUCCACAGUGAAGGCCCCGGCCCAGGUCAUCCUGCUCCGUGCCCUUGCCUUCCUGGCCUGCGCUUUCCUGCUGACGGCUGCGCUGUAUGGCAGCAGUGACCCCUUCGCCCCCGGAGCUACCCUGCCCUUGGCCCUGCCACCUGGUGGCAAUGGCUCUGCCACACCUAACAACGGUACUGCACCUGGGGCUGAGGGCUGGCAGCAGCUGCUGGAACUGCUGCCCGAACACGCGGCAGAGAAGCUACGCGAGGCCUGGACCUUUGGGCAGAACCAUCAGAUGGGCGUUGUGGUGUUGGGCCUGCUCACCUGCCUUCUGGCCAUGCUGCUGGCCGGCCGCAUCAGGCUCCGUAGGAUCGAUGCCUUCUGCACCUGCCUGUGGGCCCUGCUGCUGGGGCUGCACCUGGUGGAGCAGCAUCUGCAGGCUGCCUCACCCAGCUGGCUGGACACGCUCAAGUUCAGCACCACGUCCCUGUGCUGUCUGGUGGGCUUCACAGCAGCUGUGGCUACAAGGAAAGCAACAGGCCCACGGAGGUUCCGGCCCCGAAGGUCAGAGAAGCAGCCGUGACUUGAGGGGGGAGGACAGACGGACGGACAGGCCCAGGCUUUGCCCCAGCCCAGAACAGGGCAUCUCUCUGCCCUGCCUCUUCUUACUGCCUUGCUCCUACCCAGCACAGCCUAGAGCCCUAGGUCCUGGCCCAGCCCCUAUGCUGCCUUGAGGGAUUAACCUGCCCCCUUUUCCUUUCUGGUACCCCCAAACCACCCCCAGUGUCCUAUAGCUACUUACCACUGCCACCACCUCUCUGGCCAAAGACCUUUCACUGCCCCAGUGACCAGAAGUGGCAGCACCACACAGCCUGCCUCUGACAUGUGGCUUCCUGCCAGUAGCUCCACUCACUCAGACUCUGUUCACAGUCUGUCCUGGCUCUGACACCAUGGGGUGGGGUGCAGGGCUGUAGGCUGAGCCUUUGGUGCAUGCCACGACCACUCAGGCUGCUUGUCACAGCAGGUACUACUUAGCAGAGUGACAGGGGAGCAGAAACCCUCUACCCCCAUCCCUGCAUAGACCCUCUGGUGUGGUCUGUUCCCCUAUCCUCUGUCCCUGUGUAGAGUCUGUAGUCUGUCCCCCAUCCCCUGUCCCUGCAUAGACCCUCUGGUUUGCAUCCCUGUCCCCUGUCCCUACCUAGGCCCUCUGGUCUGGUCUGGCCCCUGUCCCUAUCCCUAUGUAGAUCUUCUGGUCUGAUCUGUUCUCGUCCCUCCAUAGACCCUGUGGUUUGGUCUACCCCCAUCCCUAUCCCUGCAUAGACCCUCUGGUUUGGUCUGCCCCCAUAUCCCCUGUUCCUACAUAGACCCUCUGGUCUGGACUAUUCCCCCAGUCCCCAUCCCUGCAUAGACCCUCUGGUCUGGUCUGCCCCCAUAUCCCCUGUUCCUGCAUAGACUCUCUGGACUGUCACCCUACUUACAUAGAGCCCCUGGUCUGCUCCCCUGUCCUCUGUACUUACAUAGACCCUCUCUGUCUGCUCCAUGGUACCCUGUGGUCCUGCCCAUUGUUGGGCCAGCCUUUUAGGAAGCGGUGGAACCACAGAGUCAGGGCUGCCCCUCUGGAUCCACUACGUAGGCCCCUGAGAUCCUGUCAUCCCUCAGGCUCCAUCCCCAGGAAUGGGUAGUCUGGUUUGACCAUGAGUUGUUGGUCAAGACCCCUCCCCAGGUAGACAGAAUAUCCUGCUUCUCCUUGUGGUCAUCAAGCUUCCUCUUUACAGGCUGUGAUGGGAGUUUGCCCCACCUACGGGGUCUGUGGACCAGGGAGAAAGAACUGGGGCGUGAGUGUUCUGCCCCAGAAAGGCAGAACCCCUUCCCUGUCAGCUGGGCCCCCGACUCAGUCCAGUGAGACUGAGGCUCCCGGCCGUGGCUCCCCCUCUGGCUGCCCACGUGGGGCUUGAAUGUUCGUCGGCCCUGUUCCCCCACAGGCCCAAGAUGUCCCCUUUCCUCCACUUACCCUGUAGAAUAAGUUCAGGUUCAGCACAGGUAAGGGGCCUGAGGGACACGUAGGCUGUCUUUGACACCAGACCACUAUCAUCUUGUCCCUCUCUGACCUGUCACAAGCUUCCCCCAGCCCCUGGCAGCAGCUUUUGGAGAAUGCCCAGACCCCUGCUCUGCAUGUCCAUGUGGGGCCACCACAGGGCCCUUGUGCCCCUCCCCCAAGUCAGACAGGGUGACCCCCAAAUGGGGGAGGGGUGCCCAGAGAUGGCUGCCUCCCAAAAUCACUCCCCAGAGGAGGCCACGAACCUGCUGGUCAGUAGCUGUGCACUCCGGGGCAGACCUUGCUAUUCCCAGCCUCAGCUUACCAUCUGGGGAGCGAGAGGUAGAUCUUUUCCAGGGUCCGUGGGCAUAAGGACUCUGUGACAUGGCAUAUAAGGACGCACUUUGAAAAUUGAGGUGCCAUCCACAUGCAAGGGAAGUUCCCAUCCUCAGGAGUACAGCCAGGGGUCACAGCCAAAGUGUGGACCCAGGCUUUCCCCGACCUGGCAUGUCGCCCCUUAGUGACCCCUCUGGGGCCCGGGUGUCCAGCCACUUAUAACUUGGAGCAGAAGCUUCCCAGCCCCAGGUGUAGCCCAAAGGAGGCAAAGAUGGAUGAGACACAUGUGAGGGUCACACCAACUCCAUGGGUCUGAGGGAACAGGUUGGUAGUUGCCCUGGUCAGCUCCUGUGUGGAGCCCUGCAGCGAGGUGGAGAGUGGUGCCCAGGCCCUGCCAUUGUGAAUCCACCACCUUUGAGGGUCCUAAGAGGCCACCCUCCCACCCUGAGCCCCAGUGAUUAGAUGACAGCUUGCUACUUGCUCGGCAUCCAUGUGGUAAGCCCAGGUGAGCUCUUAGGGCCCUGGGUGCCCAGUGAGCCUUGUGGCUUCGGACAAGGCCCUGAGCUUGUGGCUCAGCGUAGAGGGUGAGAUGAGAAGAUGGGGGCAGGGCUGGGAGUCCCACGGGUUCAGCAGUGAUGAGGGUUGGGGACAGGCCUAAGCAGCCUCAGGGUCUGGGGUCGCCUGCCUCUCCUUCCACCCCUGCCUCCCACCCCCCAGAAGGGCGUAAGAAAGACAAGGAGGUGACAGGUACCAGGCCAGGGAAGAGUAGUCUGUCUGCUGUGCUUGCCUUUGUGUGUAUCUCGACUCUCCUGUUCUCAAGGACAUUUUGACCACGUGAUGCUAAUUUCUGCUUUUCUUGGCAUUGGGUAGAAGGACAUUGUGUGUAUGUAUAUGUGUGUAUUUAAAUUAAAUUAUUUAUAAUAACUAGAACCAGCUCUUGCUGGCCAGAAUCCUCCUCUCCGCAGACAUCUCUCCUGCCCUGUGGUGAUGUAUGGAGGGUCAUCUCAUGAGAUGGCUGUCAUCAGAGCAAGGAUUCCUGGCCACCUGAGAGUUUUGUGUGACUUUAAAAAUACCUGUCUGUCCCUCGAAGUUUCAUUACUUGGAGAAAAUGCCAGCACCUUGUGACGUUACUGGCAGCAGCUGAGGGAGUAUGGGCAGUAUUGCAUUGUGGCUUGUGGCUGGGAAUGUGUCACUCCCGCCAGGGACUUCUCUCUCCCCAGCCAGGGUUGGCCCUCAGGGAUCAUCCUGAGUGCUAGGUGACUGUCCCUGAAACACAAGUGAGGUAGAUGCAGCCGUCUUCACUCUCUGGGUCUGAGGACCACACCUGGGCCAAGCAGGCUUCCCCAGGGACACUUACCUGGGGGCAGACUGCUAUGACACACCUGCCCCCCCAGCCCAGGAAGGAGCCUUUGUCCUCUCUGUCCGUGACUGUCACUGAGCCUCAUCUGUCUUGUUGUGUAGUAGAAUUAUGGAUAAUUGUCUAGUGACCCUCAAAACACUGUAACCACCACUCCUGGUGUAGACGUCGUGUUUUGGAUGCUGUGUUUUCAAUAAAUGCCUCCGGGGUCCUGCUUUUACCCGGCGGCGUCAGGUACCGCGUCUUUUUUCUUUUUUCUUCCUCACUUCAGGAGGGCUUCUGGGCCAGGCCUGGGGCGGGGGGCCUUCGGGCGUGUCCACAGGAGUCUGCAUGAGGAGGCGGGAUUGGGAGCUGGAGAUGAUGACGCCAGGCAGCUUGGGCCCAGCACUGCCUGCUGGCCUUGCCGAGUCACACUUUUCCUGUCUCAAUAAACUGCUGACUAAAACGUAGUCCUCUCCUUCCACUCUUGACUUGGACUGGGAUUGAGAUGGAGAAGACCAGACGUCUCCCCUCAGAAUCACUUCCCUGAGGUAGAAGCACAGGCUUGGAUUCUCAGCUUUUAAUCCCUCCGUGAGAUAAAGUUUGGGGUUGCAGGGCAGCCUGGGAGUCCUCUCACCAAAGGAAAUGUCAGUACCUUUGAAGUUCUCUGAAACUGUCAGAGAUUGGGUCUCCUUAAUUGGAGGGGAGACACUGGGGCAGGGCAGAGCUGUCUACCCCCACCCCAAGAACUCACUGGCACUGUAUGAGGACCUGUUCUUUGAGUGAUGUUACUGCGUUACCCAGCAUGAGGGGGUCAGGCUGCUGCAGAACUCCCAGAGCACCAACAUUUUUAGUGGCACUAAAAUUUGGAAACAGCACCUUGCUCAGGUAGCUGGGAAACCUGGGCUUAGAGCAUGGGGACAGCCCCAGGUGAGCAGGAGCUGAUGGGUGACAAAGCCUUGGCAAGGCCCAGUGGCUCCUGGAGCUGACCCUUGGGGCCAGGGGUUGCUGGGCCCAGCUGGGCACCUCUGAAGCCCAUAACCCAGCCAGCACCUUGUCCUCUCCUGUCCCCAGUCAGCUUGCCAGCUCCGCCCUUGGCUUACUCUUGGCCAGUGUGGGGCCAGCUGCUAUCUAUGACACCAGCCCUUCUCCCGCGGAGGGUCAUGUGUUGCCAGAGCAAGUUGUCCAAGGCUGCAGCUUUUCUUCCACUGCCCCUGGGGUACCUGAAAGUGUCCUCUGGAUCAUUUCCUAAGGUACUACCCAGGAGAUUCUGCCGGCCUCUU